AGUGAACGCUGGCGGUAGGCCUAACACAUGCAAGUCGAACGGCAGCACAGUAAGAGCUUGCUCUUACGGGUGGCGAGUGGCGGACGGGUGAGGAAUACAUCGGAAUCUACUUUUUCGUGGGGGAUAACGUAGGGAAACUUACGCUAAUACCGCAUACGACCUACGGGUGAAAUCAGGGGAUCUUCGGACCUUGCGCGAUUGAAUGAGCCGAUGUCGGAUUAGCUAGUUGGCGGGGUAAAGGCCCACCAAGGCGACGAUCCGUAGCUGGUCUGAGAGGAUGAUCAGCGACACUGGAAGUGAGACACGGUCCAGACUCCUACGGGAGGCAGCAGUGGGGAAUAUUGGACAAUGGGCGCAAGCCUGAUCCAGCCAUACCGCGUGGGUGAAGAAGGCCUUCGGGUUGUAAAGCCCUUUUGUUGGGAAAGAAAAGCAGCAGGUUAAUACCCCGCUGUUCUGACGGUACCCAAAGAAUAAGCACCGGCUAACUUCGUG
rnacentral:rRNA from 1 species